GAAAUGUCCUCCGAACAACGCGGAUGAUGCACCGUGCACAGUGCCGGGAGACCAAGGGCUCGUCCCCUUGGUGUCCCUGCUGCUUAGACUGGCCACCCCUACGACUGGUCCAGGGCCGGAGAGAAGAUUGGGCUCACAGCCUCGGCGAGAGAGACUGAGGCCAUUCCUACCAUCCUGAUGCAGUCAGCAGGGCAGAACCGUCCUGGGAACCCAGCCUCCGUGUCCCCAGGCAAAGAGACCAUGUGGAAGAGAACCAAGGCCACGUUCCAGCGACAGCCCCCGCUGAGCCCUCCGCCAAAACCCAGCGCCGACUGCUGCCACGUGCCAGCCACCUCGGACACUCCAGCCCCAGUGUAGCUUCCACACAACCACAGCCCCGGCCAACACUGUGUGGAGCAAAACCACCGCACUGAGCCCAGCCGACCCACAACCAUGAGACAUAACAAGUGAUGGUGGUUAUUUUAAGCCAUGAAAUUUUGGUUGUCUUGCUAUGCAGAUAACAAGAUAAUAGAUAAAACAGCUUCUCCCCUUAGCAGCUGUGUGACUUUGGGCUUGCCACUUGGCCUCUCUAAACCUCAGUUUAUGCACGAGGUAACAAUGCCCAGAGUGGUGUGGGGAUUAAAGGAGAUGGCGUAUGAAAAGCACUGAGGACCCAGGUCUCACUAAUAACUAAUGUGUAUUGAGCACUUCCCCAGAGCCAGGGAGCGUGCUCAGUGCUUUGCACACAUCAUCUUAUUAAACCUCACGGCAGCCAUCCGAGGGACUCAAUUUUACAGAUGGGGAAGCAAGUUUCCCAAAUAAAUACUCCCAACGUACAGUGAGGGAACUAAGGUAUAGAGAAUAAGUAACUUGCCCAAAGUCUGUAGCUGAUAACAAGGGCCAGAAUUCAAAUCCAUACAGCAAACAUAGAAUCAAAGACAGCUAUCAUCAUCACCACCGGGAUCCCUAGCAUUAGCAUCACCUGCACCAUCACCACCUGCACCAUCACCUCAUCAGUACCAUCAUCAUCUCCAUCAUCCUUAUCACCACCAUCAUCAUCAACAUUAGGCUGGGUGUCCGCAGGACACUGGCUGGGCCUCUCUCAGCCUGGGAACACCAUGCCUUCCGAAGUGGGCUGGACCCUCAGCCAAGAGCGUGAGGUGCAUAAAGCUAUCCUCACUCUCUCUAGCCCCCUCCACAGGGGCCAGGACAGACAUGUGAGUCUCCACCCAACACACACCUCACCUCUGGGCAAGGCUCCCUGAACACCUGGGGACAGAAGCCAGGUUUUCAGCUUCUGGGCUUCCUUUCCCACACCUGAGCUCACCAGAGCCCACGAGGCUCAGGAAGGUGCCUCCGGCCCUUUGGACCCACCUGUCUCUCAGAUGGGCCCUGGACAAAGACAAAGCCACAUUUGACCAGCCCAGAGUCUCCAAUUAUUGGUUCUUCACGCAUGUUUCCCGAACCUCCACAGGGGACAUGUACUGUGCUGGUUUCUGGCCACUAUACAAACAACUAGAUGAGAAUGAGUUGGGAGUCAGACAGGCCUAGACCGAAGCAGACUCCUUUAAUUCCCAGGCAUGCGGCUAUGGGCAAGUCAUUUAGUUUGUCUGUGCCCCGUGGAACAGACAUACCCCUAAGUGUGUGCAGCCCCUUCAAAGUCACCUUCCAGGUCUUGUCUGCACACACCCCUGGGCAGGGUCUGGUGAGGACUGAACAGGGGGUCUGGCCUCCGGACCCUGUGGACUUGGGUGACCUGUACUCCAUCUCCAUGGCUAAUAGGAUGGGUAAGGUGCCUUCAGCCAUGAAAGAGCCUCCCCAAAUCCCUGGACCUUGCUUUCCCCUCCGGUCCCAGGUCUGAGCUGCUUCCAGGCUGAAGAGAAGGCGUGGCCUGUCAAUCAGGGAUCACUGGGAAAUAGCUUUUGUUCAACAGUGAUGCCUUUGCCCCAUGGCCACCUGCCCAGGCCAUUUAAAAUACAUAGGAGCCUGUCACACGACAUCUUAGUGUUGGGCUCCACAGCUACACUCAAAAUUAUUCCAUCUCUCAGGAUUCCGAAUGACAAUACUACCACCUCUCAACAGCCUACUAUGUCCCAGGCACAGCUCUAUGAACUUUCCAUAUGUGUGUUUCUUGAGCACCUACUAUAUGCCAGGCACU